GGGUUGUGAGGUUAAGCGACUAAGCGUACACGGUGGAUGCCCUGGCAGUCAGAGGCGAUGAAGGACGUGCUAAUCUGCGAAAAGCGUCGGUAAGGUGAUAUGAACCGUUAUAACCGGCGAUGUCCGAAUGGGGAAACCCAGUGUGAUUCGUCACACUAUCGUUAACUGAAUACAUAGGUUAACGAGGCGAACCGGGGGAACUGAAACAUCUAAGUACCCCGAGGAAAAGAAAUCAACCGAGAUUCCCCCAGUAGCGGCGAGCGAACGGGGAGCAGCCCAGAGUCUGAAUCAGCUUGUGUGUUAGUGGAACGGUCUGGAAAGUCCGACGGUACAGGGUGAUAGUCCCGUACACCAAAAUGCACAGGCUGUGAACUCGAAGAGUAGGGCGGGACACGUGGUAUCCUGUCUGAAUAUGGGGGGACCAUCCUCCAAGGCUAAAUACUCCUGACUGACCGAUAGUGAACCAGUACCGUGAGGGAAAGGCGAAAAGAACCCCGGCGAGGGGAGUGAAAAAGAACCUGAAACCGUGUACGUACAAGCAGUGGGAGCACCUUCGGGUGUGACUGCGUACCUUUUGUAUAAUGGGUCAGCGACUUAUAUUCUGUAGCAAGGUUAACCGUAUAGGGGAGCCGCAGGGAAACCGAGUCUUAACUGGGCGUUAAGUUGCAGGGUAUAGACCCGAAACCCGGUGAUCUAGCCAUGGGCAGGUUGAAGGUUGGGUAACACUAACUGGAGGACCGAACCGACUAAUGUUGAAAAAUUAGCGGAUGACUUGUGGCUGGGGGUGAAAGGCCAAUCAAACCGGGAGAUAGCUGGUUCUCCCCGAAAGCUAUUUAGGUAGCGCCUCGUGAACUCAUCUUCGGGGGUAGAGCACUGUUUCGGCUAGGGGGUCAUCCCGACUUACCAACCCGAUGCAAACUACGAAUACCGAAGAAUGUUAUCACGGGAGACACACGGCGGGUGCUAACGUCCGUCGUGAAGAGGGAAACAACCCAGACCGCCAGCUAAGGUCCCAAAGUCAUGGUUAAGUGGGAAACGAUGUGGGAAGGCACAGACAGCCAGGAUGUUGGCUUAGAAGCAGCCAUCAUUUAAAGAAAGCGUAAUAGCUCACUGGUCGAGUCGGCCUGCGCGGAAGAUGUAACGGGGCUAAACCAUGCACCGAAGCUGCGGCAGCGACACUAUGUGUUGUUGGGUAGGGGAGCGUUCUGUAAGCCUGCGAAGGUGUGCUGUGAGGCAUGCUGGAGGUAUCAGAAGUGCGAAUGCUGACAUAAGUAACGAUAAAGCGGGUGAAAAGCCCGCUCGCCGGAAGACCAAGGGUUCCUGUCCAACGUUAAUCGGGGCAGGGUGAGUCGACCCCUAAGGCGAGGCCGAAAGGCGUAGUCGAUGGGAAACAGGUUAAUAUUCCUGUACUUGGUGUUACUGCGAAGGGGGGACGGAGAAGGCUAUGUUAGCCGGGCGACGGUUGUCCCGGUUUAAGCAUGUAGGCUGGUUGUCCAGGCAAAUCCGGAUAAUCAAGGCUGAGGUGUGAUGACGAGGCACUACGGUGCUGAAGUAACAAAUGCCCUGCUUCCAGGAAAAGCCUCUAAGCAUCAGGUAACAUUAAAUCGUACCCCAAACCGACACAGGUGGUCAGGUAGAGAAUACCAAGGCGCUUGAGAGAACUCGGGUGAAGGAACUAGGCAAAAUGGUGCCGUAACUUCGGGAGAAGGCACGCUGGUGUGUAGGUGAAGCCCCUGCGGGUGGAGCUGAGACCAGUCGAAGAUACCAGCUGGCUGCAACUGUUUAUUAAAAACACAGCACUGUGCAAACACGAAAGUGGACGUAUACGGUGUGACGCCUGCCCGGUGCCGGAAGGUUAAUUGAUGGGGUUAUCCGUAAGGAGAAGCUCUUGAUCGAAGCCCCGGUAAACGGCGGCCGUAACUAUAACGGUCCUAAGGUAGCGAAAUUCCUUGUCGGGUAAGUUCCGACCUGCACGAAUGGCGUAAUGAUGGCCAGGCUGUCUCCACCCGAGACUCAGUGAAAUUGAACUCGCUGUGAAGAUGCAGUGUACCCGCGGCAAGACGGAAAGACCCCGUGAACCUUUACUAUAGCUUGACACUGAACAUUGAGCCUUGAUGUGUAGGAUAGGUGGGAGGCUUUGAAGCGUGGACGCCAGUCUGCGUGGAGCCAACCUUGAAAUACCACCCUUUAAUGUUUGAUGUUCUAACGUUGGCCCCUUACCGGGGUUGCGGACAGUGUCUGGUGGGUAGUUUGACUGGGGCGGUCUCCUCCCAAAGCGUAACGGAGGAGCACGAAGGUUAGCUAAUCCUGGUCGGACAUCAGGAGGUUAGUGCAAUGGCAUAAGCUAGCUUGACUGCGAGCGUGACGGCGCGAGCAGGUGCGAAAGCAGGUCAUAGUGAUCCGGUGGUUCUGAAUGGAAGGGCCAUCGCUCAACGGAUAAAAGGUACUCCGGGGAUAACAGGCUGAUACCGCCCAAGAGUUCAUAUCGACGGCGGUGUUUGGCACCUCGAUGUCGGCUCAUCACAUCCUGGGGCUGAAGUAGGUCCCAAGGGUAUGGCUGUUCGCCAUUUAAAGUGGUACGCGAGCUGGGUUUAGAACGUCGUGAGACAGUUCGGUCCCUAUCUGCCGUGGGCGCUGGAGAAUUGAGGGGGGCUGCUCCUAGUACGAGAGGACCGGAGUGGACGCAUCACUGGUGUUCGGGUUGUCAUGCCAAUGGCACUGCCCGGUAGCUAAAUGCGGAAGAGAUAAGUGCUGAAAGCAUCUAAGCACGAAACUUGCCCCGAGAUGAGUUCUCCCUGAGACUUUAAGUCUCCUGAAGGAACGUUAAAGACGAUGACGUUGAUAGGCCGGGUGUGUAAGCGCAGCGAUGCGUUGAGCUAACCGGUACUAAUGAACCGUGAGGCUUAACCUUACAACGCCGAAG
rnacentral:rRNA from 1 species